rnacentral:tRNA from 1 species
UGUAUGUAGCUCAGUGGUAAAGUACUUGGCUAGCAUGCAUAAGGCCCUGGGUUCAAUCCCCAGCACUACAA